AGCCUAAUAGCUAGCCCGCCUCAACAAAUUCAACACUCAAUUAUUUAUAAACCCAAAAACACUUAAUUGUACAAAUAAAUCAUUCUUCCCCCUUAGUACAGGAGA
rnacentral:rRNA from 1 species